rnacentral:ncRNA from 2 species
AAAUAACGCAAGGGGUGCGGCCCCGACCGCGCGCAAUCCGCGCGAAUGCGCAGGUGGCAGAUAAUUGCCACCAGCCGUCGAGGCCGCUGAGAACACACCCUAAGAACCUGAUCUAGUUCGUACUAGCGAAGGGAUGCUCGCACUAUGCACC